UACGGAGGGUGCAAGCGUUAAUCGGAAUUACUGGGCGUAAAGCGUGCGCAGGCGGUUCGUUGUGUCGGCGGUGAAAGCCCCGGGCUUAACCUGGGAAUGGCCGUCGAAACUGGCGAACUGGAGUGUGGCAGAGGGGGGUGGAAUUCCGCGUGUAGCAGUGAAAUGCGUAGAGAUGCGGAGGAACACCGAUGGCGAAGGCAGCCCCGUGGGCUGACACUGACGCUCAGGCACGAAAGCGUGGGGAGCAAACAGG
rnacentral:rRNA from 1 species